GGCAAAAGGAGGCCGUAGAGCAAAACCUGUGCAUGGAAGCCCUGGCCUGCUUUAGCGUGGUUUGGAGCAUCCUCAAGGAAAUGGCAACCCACUCCAGUACUCUUGCCUGGAGAAUCCCAUGGACGGAGGAGCCUCGGCGGCUACAGUCCACGGGGUCGCAAAGAGUCGGACACAACUGAGCGACUUCACUCACUCAAGAUUUUUAAUAAGGAUCACAACCGACGGGCAGGCUGGAGGCGGAGAUGCAGGAGCAAACGACAUCAGAAAGGUCAGAGCAGCUCUGUUUGUUUUUCCAAACUGUCAGAGUAAAGUUACAACGUGCCACCUGGGUAAGCCACUAGCAAAGUCCCCGGAUGACGUCCACUGUAACCGCAGGGAUUUCUCACAGUGGGGAUUGCUAGAAGAAGAAUUUGCUUGGGGGAAGGGAGCUGCCAGAAACCAGCCCCAGCGAAGCACCGGGAUGGCUCAAUGCUUGACAUGACAACGGUCUUAUUUUUAAUCCUCAACCAGACCCUCUGAGGUGCCACCUGUGCUGAGACCACCUCCCUCCACCAUUCUGCAACUCCCAGCCUCCUCCGCGCACAGUGACGUCAUUUCCUGGUUUUACUUCUGGAUGGUUCUCCAGUCUGCCUACGGUCACACCAAAACUACGCAGCUCCUUCUGAGCCAGGCAGUGGGCACCCAGCAUGUGAAAAGGCCACGCGAGGAGAGAGCCCCCACCAGAAACCAGUCUUGGACUUCCAGCCUCCAAAAGGGGGUGUGGUUCUCCACGAUGGAAGCCCAGGCCGACUAACGACAGCUCUACACGAGGGAGGAGACCACCCCCCACACAGACGGCAGUGUGAAGGGCUCUUCCUCUGGGUGUUAUUUCCAUUUCACAUGUAAAGGCACAGGCAGAGCUCACUUGUGAAGCUGGGUAAGUGCGGUUCACUCCGGAAGUGCCUAGACCCUACUGCACUGCCUUGCGUCUUCAUAUUUCAGGCUUUCAAAUCACCUUGCUGCUGCCACGCAGAUAAAGUGGAAGCCUGUUCUACAUCCUGCAGCAAUUUUCAUGUGGGGAAAUAAUAAUAUAGGACAAAGAAUUAUUGAUGUCACCGUCUAGGUCGUAGCUUGAAUCCAUCUUUCCCUACAGAUACUCUGUUGAUUUAAUUGAAGGGAAGCCCAAAUGAUAAUAAAACAGAUGAUAAUGAACACGCUAGCAAUAGCGAACCUUCCCAGAGUACUUUCUCUAAACCAGACGCUGUGCUUUCAUGACUAAAACCAUGAUCGCAAACUGGGUUACUGUGAACCCAGCUUCCGAAGGAGGUGGAUCCCUCAGUUAGGCCCAUUUUACAAAGAAGGAAAUUGAAACCUGGAGAGGUUAAGGAACCAUCCUGAGAGUCAGAAUACUUCAGGGACCUCCCUGAUGGUGCAGUGGCUGAGACUCCACGCUCCCAGUGCAGGGGACUGGCCUCAACCCCUGGUCAGGGAACUAGAUCCCAUGUGAUGCAACCAAGAGUCCAAGCUGCGACAAAGACCUGGCCCAGCUAAACUAAACAUAUGAAUAUAGGACGAUAUCUAGUGUGCAUGGGUGACGGUGUUAGCUGCUCAGUGGUGUCAGACUCUUUGUGACUUCAUGGACUGCAGCCCGCUAGACUCCUCUGUCCAUGGAAUUCUCCAGGCAAGAAUACUCUAGUGGGUUGCCAUUCCCUUCUCCAGGGAAUCUUCCCCAUCCAGGAAUCGAACCCAGGUCUCCUGCACUGCAGGCAGAUUCUUUUUUUAAAUUUAUUUUUUUAUUGAAGGAUAAUUGCUUUACAGAAUUUUGUUGUUUUCUGUCAAACCUUAACAUGAAUCAGCCAUAGGUAUACAUAUAUCCCCUGCCUUUUGAACCUCCCUCCUGUCCCCCUCCCCGUCCUUCCCCUCUAGGUUGAUACAGAGCCCCUGUUUGAGUUUCCUGAGACAUGCAGCAAAUUCCUGGUGGCUGUCUAUUUCACAUAUGGUGAUGUAAGCUUCCAUGUUUCUCUUUCCAUACAUCUCCCCCUCUCCUCUCCUCCCCUCUCCCCCAUCUGUAAGUCUAUUCUCUAUGUCUGUUUCUCCAUUGCUGCCCUGUAAAUAAAGUCUUCGCCUAUAUAUGUGUACAUAUAUUUUUAAAAAAGGAUAAUUCAGUCUUAGUCCUAGCCCUACCACCAACAAGCCUUAUAAUUAUAGUCCAAAAUACAAAUCCAAGUCCUAAUCCUUGGUACCUUGAACAUGACCUUAUUUGGAAAAAGGGUCUUUGCAAAUAAUAUUAAGUUGAAGAACUCGGGAUGAGAUAAUUCUGGAUCACUUGUGUAGAUCUUAAAUUCAGUGACAAAAGUUCUUGUAAGAAAAGGAGAAGACAGAGAUGCAGAAAGGAAGUCCGUGUGAAGACAGAGGCAGAGACUGGAGUGAUGUGGCCACAAGCCAAGAAAUGCAAGGAGCACCCAGGAAUUGGAGGAGGCAGGAAGAAUUCGGCCCUAGAAGCCUUUGAGGGAGCAUGGCCCUGCUGACACUUCAAUUCAGGAUUUGCGUCCUCCAAAACUCUGAGAAAAGAAGUUUCUGUUGUGUUAAGCCAGAACACAGCAGGUUCUAGGUUGUUGUCAUGGCAACCCUAGAAACUAAUGCUGUGACUACAGGUGGCUCCCUCUCAGGUUCUAGGUUGUUGUCAUGGCAACCCUAGAAACUAAUGCUGUGACUACAGGUGGCUCCCUCUGGGUCUUGGGUUCCUCAUCGGUUACAGGCGAGGUUGGGAAUAUACCAGCCUCUGAAUGUGAGGUGAUGAACCUGGGCCAGUCACUGUGGGGGGAAUAUGUAAGCCAGUGGUUCUAGGACAGGGAACAUCUGGGAAUGUCCAGACCCUGAGGCUGGGAAAGACUGAGGCCAGGAGAAGGGGGCGACAGGGGAUGAGAGGGUUGGAUGGCAUCACUGACUCGAUGGACGUGAGUUUGAGCAAGCUCUGGGAGAUAGUGGAGGGCAGGGACACCUCAUGUGCUGCAGUCCAAGGGUCACAAAGGGUUGGGUAUGACUUGGCGACUGAACAACAACAAUGAGAGACUGGUUUUCACGACUGGGUGAGAAGCGGUGGUGAGACUCCUCCUGGCGUCUGGUGAGUGGAGCCCAGGGAAGCUGCUCAGCACCCUCCAACACGCGGGACGGACCCCGCCCCAGAGGACAGCCUGGCUCAAGGUGUGAGCAGCGCGCAGGCUGCAAACCCUGGCGUACACCAGGCUAAGGUGCGGCCUACAAGCAACACCUUAUGUGACUGAGAAGUUCACAGUCACUUCUCAGGGCAGGUGAUAGUA
ensembl:lncRNA